rnacentral:rRNA from 1 species
AUUGAACGCUGGCGGCAUGCCUUACACAUGCAAGUCGAACGGUAACAGGUCUUCGGAUGCUGACGAGUGGCGAACGGGUGAGUAAUACAUCGGAACGUGCCCGAUCGUGGGGGAUAACGAAGCGAAAGCUUUGCUAAUACCGCAUAAGAUCUAAGGAUGAAAGCAGGGGACCGCAAGGCCUUGCGCGAACGGAGCGGCCGAUGGCAGAUUAGGGAGAUGGUGGGAUAAAAGCUUACCAAGCCGGCGAUCUGUAGCUGGUCUGAGAGGACGACCAGCCACAGUGGGGCUGAGACACGGCCCAGACUCCUACGGGAGGCAGCAGUGGGGAAUUUUGGACAAUGGGCGAAAGCCUGAUCCAGCCAUGCCGCGUGCAGGAUGAAGGCCUUCGGGUUGUAAACUGCUUUUGUACGGAGCGAAAAGACUCUUUCUAAUAGAGAGGGUCCAUGACGGUACCGUAAGAAUAAGCACCGGCUAACUACGUGCCAGCAGCCGCAGUAA